AGGCCACAGCCACGCGCCCACCCGCCCCCUGGCCGUGGGUUCCCCCGGGCAGGGUGGCAGUUCUGCGCGCAGAGGCCGGGCCGCGCGUCCCCAAGGUCCUUUCUUGGUUUCCGGGCCUCAGGCCCCUGCAGGCACAAGGACCCGCGGGGCGCGGGCAGGUGGCAGAGCGCCGGUGGAUGAGGGUGCCCUGGGGGAGGCGUGGCCUCCAGGGCAGACACAGGUGAUCCGUGGAACUGCUGGGCCAGCGCAAUGGAGAAGUGGAGGCACAACCCCACCCGCCGAACAGCGACUUUGUAUCCAAAGCACCCCACUUGGGGCUGGGCGCAGUGGCUCACACCUGCAAUCCCAGCACUUUUGGAGGCCGAGGCAGGCGGAUCACUUAAGGUCAGGAGUUCGAGACCAGCCUGGCCAACAUGGUGAAACCCCGUCUACUAAAAAUACAAAAAUUAGCCAGCGUGGUGGCAAGUGCCCUAGUCCCAGCUACUUGAGAGGGUGACGCAGAAUCGCUUGAACCUGGGAGGCAGAGGUUGCAGUGAGCUGAGAUCAUGCCACUGCACUCCAGCCUGGGUGACAGAAACUCCAUUUAAAAAAAAAAAAAAAGUAGCCCAUGUGGGUUACUUUGUAGCACAGCUCCUCCCUCCCAGGAAGAUGAGGACCCACAGGAGGCCCCAGGCACAGUGGGAGAGGACAGGACCAGGAUGUGGGGCACCUGUGCACACAGGCCUCCCUCCCCGCAGGGGCCAGGCCUCUACCCCACCACCCUCCGCCCUCCAACGGCUUCUCCAUCCAA
rnacentral:lncRNA from 10 species